rnacentral:lncRNA from 1 species
GAUGGGAGGAAAUAGUCUCAAAUGGUGAAAAACAUUUAAAGGAAUAAUGAGUAACAGCAGCAUGUCAGUGGGCAAUAUUUCCUUUUAUUUUUUUCAAAGGACGAGACGAUUAAUUUUCAUUGGAAGGAUUAAAUAGAUUGGAAUCUGUGCUGUCAUAAAAAUGGCUGCCUCCCUCAUGUGCAAUAUAUUUGAAAGGGACAACUGUUCCAAGAUAACGGUUGGUAUCUAUGCAGACCACAAAGAGCAAUGUGGCUGAAAUGUUUCCUCACCAGAGCAGAGUGACUGGCUGUGGCACAUGGACUGAGCAUUCUGUCAUUCGAACUGGACUGUUUGAUAUUUUCUUGUGUGUGUGCACAUGCAAAGGCUGGGUCCAACAGUUGCAAAUUUAUAACCUUGCCGAUCCAGACAGUGUAGUUUAGUGUAUACAAAUUUUACAAUAAAUCUGUAAAGUGUUUUGUGCCGUGAAUUAGUCCAGAAAUAAAGGAUUCUCACUGGAAUGGUGAACUACCAAGUAUGCAAGUCCAGAAAUAAAGCAGUUUCCUUAAAUUUACGUUGUGAGCGUAAGUGAGAUCUAUGAAUGAGGAGCAGUAUACAAUUGUUGUUGUUGUUUUCGUUUUCUUUCUCAGAUCAGAUCAGAUAUCACUUGCCCCAAAUUAAAAGCAGUUCCAGUGUAGUUCACAAACCACCAUUUAUUGCAGAAAGUUAGGCAGCAUUUAUUCAAGGAAUUGAGGAGAAAGUGUUGUUGUGUGUGCUUGCAGCAAAACUAUUCUGUAAUAGUAGUCCAAUGAACUCAUGUCUGAGAACUUGUAAUUGCUUAUUUGCAGAUCUUUAUACUUGAGGAGAGUCUAACAUUCUAAUGUACCAGAAUAGCCUGCAAAGACCAAAUCAAUGUUUACAAACUCAAUAGUACAUUAGGAAAUAUAUAGGAAAUCUUUUGAAUAUAUAUACACAAACCUUCUCCAAAUUGCUUCAGUUUCUAUAGGUUAAAUGACUGGUUCACGUUAAUGUAAACAAGAACAUUUGCACUUGGAUUCUAAUCCUAAAUUCAGUAAUGAGGAAGGAAGGAAAUCUCAUUGGACAAGAUGAGAAUUCUAGUUGUCAGUUCACAUGCUAAAUUCAAAUCACAGUUAGCUUUUGCCCAUAGUUCCUUUCUGCUUUAUUUUAAAUAAGAAUGAUUUCAUGUCUGCUCUAGGACCCAGAUCCAACAAAAUUUAGUUGUGGGUGAGGCUCUAAUCCUAAGCACUCUCUCUGGAGAAUAAAGCCCCAAUGAAUUGAUUGGGACUUACUUCUGUGUAAGCAUGCAUAGAAUUGCAUUGUAAAUACCAUUGAAACCACUGAACUAUGCCAUUGAGACUUAGUUGUGAUUAACUUUAGCUAGGUCAGCAUAGAGAUCUUCAAAGGUUCAUCAUCUGCUUCAUCAUCUCACUUUGCUAUACAUGCAAGACACUAGAUAAACUAUAGCUAAUACAACUAUGCAUCUUUUUAUCUGUUUUGCAUGACAAUACUUGUAAGCCUUUCCCUUUCUAGAAUGGAAUGGACCUGCUUUCCAUGUACAUACAUACAUCCACAGCCACAUGGAUUCAGAAAUGUACAAAAAUAGUUUUCAGGCCCUUGGUCAAAACUGUUAUUGGGGGGAAAUUACCCGAUACACAAGGAUCCCAACAAGUGGGAAUGUUUGCUACUAUUUUUUCUGUGAUGUGACCACAAUGCCUGUGUGAACUACAGCUGUCAGGCAUAUUCGGUCAGUACACCUACCACUCAUAAGUGCCCCAGGAAAACAAGUGAAGUUUAGGUCACCCAAGAAAUCCCAUGUUGGUAUUUCACGGCAAGCACAAAUGCCCAUAAAUGGACAAUUCUUGAUGAUACUCCACUUUUACAGCACAAGUAUUCUGAGGUGUUAGGUUUGUUGCCAAACACUGUUGGUAUUGUUUUCCUAUCACAAUCCAUCUUCGUUGUUAUUGGGAUCAUCAUAAUCUUCCCCAAUGUAUUGUUUCUGGAGCCAGGGAUUACAUUUAGUCCACCCAAUUGUUUGAAAUUGCUAUUUUUGCUUGCUGUUUUUUCCCAUCACAGCCCUACAUUCUCCAUCAUAUUUUACACAUAAUAGGCAUUUUUUUCUAUUCCUCUAGUUUAAUGAAAGACCAUGAGGCUUACUAGGUGAUAUCGUGCAAGUCAAUUGCACUUUGCUUAAUCCACGUCGCAAGGUUGUUGUGAAGAUAACAUAUGGAAGAUCUUUGUAUGCUACCCUGAGUUCCUUGGAGGAUAAUUAAUAUAUCUAAAAGUUUACAUGUAAUUGCUGUUUAUAUUUCUAGAGACAGUGCUAAACUGCAUGGCGAUAAAAUUGUUUUACUUGCAAUUAUUUAUAGUUAAUGAUAUUUUUAAUUACAGAAAAAUCAAAGUACAAAAUACAAUAUUAAAUUCUCAUUUAAAAGUAGCUUCAUUGUAAUACUUACAAUAAAUCUUUUUAAAAGAUUUGUUAAGUCGGAAGAUUAAUGUGCCUUAUUUCCCCAAGAAUUUGGAAUGAUUUUCAUUUGUGUGAAGGACAGAUUAAAGACUUAUACAGGAACAAAAGAAAAUCUGAGUUUGAGAUGCUUGAGGAAUCCAACCUAUCUUUUUGUUUGUUCUUUUCUCUGUUUAUAUUUAUAGUUUAGUUGUCAUUGGAGAGGUUUCUGUAAAUUACAAAUAAAAGUAGCAUAAUAUAGAAAGAAGAUGCACUGUUCAUCUGAUAUAUUAUGAAUGCUAAAGCCUUUUCUGCGAGUGUUUGUGUGUGUGUGUGUGUGAGAGAGAGAGAGAGAGAGAGAGAGAGAGAGAGAGAAAGUGAAUGUGAAAAAAUGAUGAAAUAUGACAAAAUAUUUUUGGUAAUCUAAGAGCAGCUAUAGUUUUAAAAAUCAGUCCACCCACCCCUCCCCACUUGUAGCUUGAGACUGUAGCAUAGUGCAUGCUACAUUGCCAUGUGUAAGGACAUACUUUUCUCUUCCUCUCUUCAAGCUUGAUGAAAUGUUCUGUGAAACCUGAUGUUAUGUACUGAAGUUCUCAACCUGGGCCAGCAGGGGGAUACUGUGUAGAUAGUUCAGGUCCACAUAUGCAAAUAAGGGAUCAAAAGUGACGUUCAGUGAUUGGAUAGUUACAGAAAAUGGUUACUGUUGCGUUCUAGUGGAGCUCUAUAUAAGCAGGCUGGCUGAACCCUUCAGUUCAGUUCUGUUCUGGCCUGUGAAUAAACAAGAGCUGUUUGAAGAAUCGCUGUGUCGUCUGAUAUGUUCACCCACAACUUAACACCUGAAAGCUUACUUUUGUGCUUUGUAGUUAAUCCUAAUAAAUGUAUUGCACAUGAGGGAUGUUUCGAUUUUUCUAGUGGACCAACACAUCUGUUUUUGAGAAGAGGGAAAUUAAAGAAUAUUACCAUUUCUGAAUUAUGCUUUGCAGAUAUUCUCAACCCCAAUAAUGUGACUAGAUGUGUACAAGUUAGGUUCUGAUCACACACUGAAUUUUAAAUGCCUUUGUAAAUCUCUCCAAACAAUGUGCUGCCAUAUAUUUGAAGAUUAUGUCUUCAAGAGAGACUAAAUAAUGUUUAGUGGAGCUAAAUUAACAUACUUAAAAAUAUCUCCCGUAUAGAAUAGCACAUUUCUGUACCAUAAUGUGUUAUGUGCUUUCAUAGGCCUUUGAACUAUAACUCUAAUUGUUUUUUGUUGAGUAUGCUUUUAUAAAUAAUUUCUGUCGUUGCAGACUAUAUGCUGCUUUCUUUGAUGACUCUUAAGUACUGUAGUUUCUGUGAGAUAUGAAUGAAAGCAUGUUGGAUCAGUUCUAUGAAAGGUUAUUACAUUAAAAUGUACUUUGUAAGGUGAUAGAUACAUAUUUUGAGGCCCCCCCCC